AAUGGAAAAAAAGAAAAAAUUCGCGCAUAGCACCCCGACCCCGUGCUUGAACCGCGGGCGGCGCGCGCGCGUCUGCACCGCCCGCGGUGCACAAAGAAUUCCUCGAUACAAAUAAGCAUCCAGGCCGAGGGCCCACCCUGCUCCGGUCUUCUCCUGAUUCAUCCACGCUAUUCCGGGAAAGAAGAGGAUCUCUCUCUUCUGGAAACCAUAAUCUCCUCCAAGAAUUCCGAGGUCCCUCUUCAACGAAAGAGGAGGACGUUGCCGGAGAAUGGGAAUCAUGGUGGUCUCAAACCCUACAUUCUUGCCAGCGAUACUUAGAGGAGAUCCUUCUGGUCGGGACGUUGUUAAAAGUGACUCUUUCUUUAUCUCACUGAAUAGGCUAUCUGUUUCCAUGAUCUGUUUUGAGAUGGCCAUUUUUAAUCCUUUGAUGGAACUAGCUGAAGCGAUCAUAGCUUCAGUAAAACUAGAUCGUUUCGUUGCGUUGAACUCGAUCCUGGUUUUGUGGUUGUCCGAAGCAAUCGCCGUAUCAAAGUUAGGUGAUCUUCUUGAAAGUGGAUUCAAACCGUUGGAUCUAAAAGCAAAACGAAGCUCUUGUAACAUGUUCUCAGUACUCUGCUUCGAAGGAUCCAAGAACAAAGAAAGAUGGGGCCGUCGUGGUGCCGAAGCCAUAGAUGACACCAUUCCUAUUCUAUGGAGGAUUGAAACCCUAGAUUCUCUCUCCAAGGAGAUCUGGUAUGUUGUUAACGUUAUCCUCUCUUGAUCUAAUUCUUAUAUCUAUCGAUUCUUGAAGGUGUGUUCUGUUCUCAGUCACCUGUUCAAAGAUUGGCUGUGUUUUCUUCCUUCGAUUUGAUCAUAAGGUCAGUACUUAUUCUUGUGGAGUUCUUUAUGUUGAUCUGAAAACAAGGUGAAGCUCAGUUUAUUUGUUUUCAUACACUCGGUACUUUGGUUCACUAAUUCUUAUCUGCGUAAUAUGCAAAAUCAUAUCCACAGACCCUAUUUACGAUGACUUGUUUUGAAAAUGCACAUCAUCGUUUCCACCAAAAAAAGAAAAAGAAAAAGAAAAAGAAAAAAUGCACACGAUCAUCAUUCUGCCCAACACAUUAGGCAGUCCAAUCUGUUGUUAAACUAUCAAUUGCCUAAUUACAAAAUAUUUAUGGGUGUAUUUGGUUUGCGACUGGAAUUGUAAUGGAAACUGGAAUGGCUAUAUCCCCCGACACAUUUGAUAUUUGAUAUUUAUGAUUAGAAUCAAAAUCGGAACUGGAAUGGGAUUUGAAUACUAUGAGAGAAUAGGGAUUGAGUUUUGGGAGAUUGAGGCAUUCUCAUUUCUUCCUGGAAUUAGAAUGGGAAUGGGAGUUCCCCAAACAAAUGGCUGAAAUGAGAGUCAUUCGUUCUCAUUCCCAUUCCAGAGUCUAACACCCUUCCCCCCCCCAUUGGUUUCUCACGUUUAAUAUUUGCCAUGCUAUCAAUGCAUGCUACUAUAUAGUUAACUGGUAAUGCUUGUGGAUAAUGUUCGAUCUUGCAUUUUGCCUAGAAUGAAAAUAUUGGAUUGCUAUUUGUUUAUGGGCUAUACUUUUAUUUAUAUUUUAGAGAUUUUUAUUUUUUUCUCACUCUAUGUCACUCUAGAUAGAGUUGCCGGUGAUGGUUUUGAUUGUUCAUUAUUAUAAUGAUUUAAUAACUCAUACUCGAUUGGUUGUUCCCCAUUGUUGAAUAGGUCUGUCUUUUGUAUUGAACUCAAAUUAGUGUGGUUGCUUUGCAAAUAUAAUGUAGCAGUCAAAUGCCCAACUGCACCUCCACGUAAAGUCUCAUCUCUGUAGCAUCCUACUACAUGCAGAAGCCAAUAGCUUACAACUGAUCUGAUUAUCUAUAUGCAGAUGAAGCUUGUGUUUAAGGGGUUCAACCUGAAAUUAAUGGGGAAUAGCCCAAGGGGACAAUCAGGAAUAUUUUAUAAUUUAAAUUAUUGGUUUGUCAGCCUUGACUGCAUUUUAAAUGUUUGCUGGCAUCUAGGAGACCAUGCUUUCAUGUAAUAUUCUGUUGCUUUUUGAGCAUUUCAUAAUUUUUUUGGUGUGCCCUUUUUUUUGGAAAAAGCAUGGUACAGAAAUUCAUGUUGUCUCCGAUCCUACUUAUAGUUUGAGGUAUGGGAAAAAGGACUUCGAUGGGCAGCAUCCUCGCUAAAUCACUAACAGCCACAAAGUAUUCAGAUUUCGGAUCAUCUUCCAGCACCCUCUCAUGAUGUGAUUUUGCCCGAUUGAAGAAUCUGUCAAGUUAAGUCCCAUUUUAUGUUCAUUUUAGAUGCUAAAUUGUUUCAUUUGUGCAUAUUGCAGGAAGGAAAUUAAUUCUUAUGCAGAAUGUGGGAAAGGUCUGACACAUACUAUGUAUGUACGAAGUUUUGACAAAUCCCUUGAAGAGUAUCAGUUUUUUGUAAAAAAAAGAAAAAUAGAUUAAUUCGAUAUUGAUAUUCUUGUGCAUGUCUUAGUUUUGAGCUUAUUGCGGAUUCAAAGUUCCCUUGAAGAGCAUUUUUUAUAUUGCUCACAGGUUUACUUUCUAAAUCUACCAUCCUCUGCUUUGCCAGCUGUGAGUUCCUUUUGUUGGACCAUGGUAUCCAUCCUUCUUUCAAUACCUAACCUCCUGUUUUACCUCUCUUUGUCAAGGUGAUCUCUUUUCAUCAAGAUGAUUUACUGCUUUUUAAUCAGUUCAUUUUCUUUUUUUCUAUUUUUGCAUUUCAUCUAUAUGAUAUCCUUUUGUUUUUGUUUUUGUUUUUGUUUUUUUUUCCCAAUUUUUGUUGUGGGAUUAAUUUUGGUAUUUGAAAUCUUAUUACCUGCAUUGAAUUUAUUUCUAAAUUUGUUGCCCUUUUUUAAGAUUAGCCUCGUGUUUUUUGUAUCUGGUUCUAUCUUGCUCUUCGCCUUGAACAAAAGUGUUGCUUACUUUCUGUUUAUAGACUAUUAUAAUGUUGCUCAUAUUUUAGACCUUUUUAUUUUCUCACUAUUCCCUACCAUGCCAUACUUCCAAAUUUUCUUAUUAAACUCAAGGUACUGUAAUUCUAUUCUAGAUUUAAACUAGCAAUUAAAUGUGCAACAAUCCUAGACGAAGUCUCAUCUUUGCAAUAUCCUGUCAUGUGCAAAAGCCACAAUUUAGAAGUAAUUUGAUUAUCUACAUGCAGAUGAAGCUUGAGUUAAGAAGUUGUGAGAUUAGUGCAGGUGUGUUUUUAAUCCUAUAUUGGUUAUACAAUAUGAAAGUUUUGAAUACUUAUAUAGGAUUAAAGAGACCAAAUAAUAUCUUCUGACUAGGCUUUUUAUGUGAGAUCCGAGGUAAUUAUGAAUGAUAUUAUAACAGUCCUAGUCCAUGGUGCAUGUGAACUACGGUAUACUAUGUAGACCCUUUUAGACUUGAUCAUGGGCGGAUCAUGAUGUUUGUGAUUAGAUUCUGAUUGAAUUUGGAUUCUUAGCUUAAACAAGGAUGCUAUGACUCAAGUAAGGGAGUAUUUGAGGACCAUGCAGGAGUGUUUAGUCCUACAUGCUUAUGUACUAGGAAAAUUUUGGAUACUUAUACGAGAUGAAAAACCUAAAUAGUAUCAUUUAGCUAGCUUUUUGGAUAAGGUGCUUGGUUGUUGCAGGUGUUCAACUAGAAAUCCAUAUGGAAGUACCCAAGUGAGGCAAUUAGGAAUAUGCUAAUGACCGGGUAACCUGCCCUAACCACAUUUUGAAGUCUAUUAGUGCCUUGGUGAUUAUGUCUUCAUCCAAAAAUAUGUUUAUUGUAUGUAUGGUGCUUGUAGAGCUACUUAUCUAUUAAAAACAUUCCACAGCUCGUUACUGAUUUGUAGCCAUGCCAUAUACUUGCCUAACUUGAAAUAUGCUGUUCUCAGGAUAUAAAGAGCAGCACAUUGUAACAGAAAGAAUGUGUUCGGUGCUCAGUACAGAGCUCUUUUUGUCAUCUAGAAUAGCUAUGCAUUCUUCUUAUCUGAGUUACUCAUGCUAAUAUAGGAAACUACGCUCGAUGACUUCAUACAUUUUUUAGCUUUUUUAGCAGUUCUUCAGCUAAAUAUCUAUUGCAAAGUAAAGGGAGCUAAAUUCUGUUGGAGAAUUGGCUCCUAAACAGAUCUUUGUAAUACCUUUACUAAUAUCACCAUAUGACCUUUGAAGUGAAAUUUAGUUCACGAAAACACUUGGAGGCUAAAGCCUAUACGUGAUUGUUGGAUGAGCCACGGCUCCUACAUUAAGCAGGUCCCAGAAUGUGAUCCUCGUUCCGGGACUUCUCUGAACAACAGCAGCAGCAUAAUUUCUUUUCUCAAUUAAGAAAAUACUACAGUGCAAGUUAAUUUACCUUGGUAAGGUAUCUGCUGUUUCGCUAAUAAAUAAGAUUUUUUUAAAAAAAAAAUAUUGAGAAGUCUAGGACCCCAACAACAAGAAAAGAGAUAUAGUAGAAUUACAAUCUUUUAGAAGGCCACAACGGAAAUUUUAGUAUGAAGAGUGAUUUGUAGAUUUGGAGGAAGGUUCAAUUUGGAACAGUAUCCAUAUACCACUGGAUGCUAGCCAGUUAGCAGCCUGGUUAGCUUCAUGGAAAAACAUGACUUGCUUUGAAAAAUUGAUGUGAUGAUGCUAGUAUGUAGAUACCCUGUGGUAGGGGAUUGACCUUUCAAUGUGGGUGCGGCAUUGUUCAUCCAAUGAAUGACAGUAGCAGAGUCCCUUUAAAGCAAGAUAUUAAGAGCAUUUGAUGUCAUGGACGGCCACCAUUAGCCCUUCUCAUGCUGCCCUUAGCACAUUUGUUGGCACAGAGCUAGUAUGGACACGAGAACGAGCAUAGAUGACCCGGCCUUUGAGCAAUUCCGUUGAUGAAACCUGCAUUGGCAUGGACCUCUUUGAUGGUGCUGUCAAAGUUCACCUUCGGCAUGUUCUGGGAGGGGUAUCCAAGAAAUAUAAGUUGGACCGUUCUUCUAGAGCGUACAGAGCUGCCAGUGCCCUGGUCCAGAAACAACUGAUAUCCACAAAAUUGAUAGCAGCCUCAAAGAAUUCCAAUGUCAACCGAUUAGCAAGAUCACCAAUAUACUGCAGCUCAGGAGAAUCCUGAAACACUGGUUUCUUGUGUUUCAUAAUAACCAAACAGUAUUACAGACUAACUGUAGAAUUCAGGUCUUUGGGGGUUUGAAAUGGGCGUCAAUAUUGACUCUUGAGAGGCAAAAAUAUGCAAGUUGAGUUGCUAUGUAAGGAAUUAAGAAGGCCUUUGAGAGAUAAUGUCGGACCUAAGUAAAGCAAUCUCAUUCGACCAGAAGAGUUUUGACUCUAUGAGUUACUGAUUACCUCCAAAUCCAGUUGAAAUUAUGAUUAGCUGAAGCUGGGGACCAACUAGCUAUGGAGGUCUACAUAUCGCUGACCCUCAACUAGGUACUUCCAGUUUCAGUCCGAAUCAUUUGGUCCUCACUAGUACCUCAGGAAUAAGUGUUCUGAUAACCCUGUGAGCCAAAUCUUCUGGUAGAGUUUCAUUCAACAUAGGAAUAUUUCAUCCACCAUGGUCAUUGUAAAAUUAAGAAAAGUUAAUGUUCCCCAAAGCA